rnacentral:rRNA from 1 species
UACGGAGGAUGCGAGCGUUAUCCGGAUUUAUUGGGUUUAAAGGGUGCGUAGGUUGUUUUUUAAGUCAGCGGUGAAAGUUUGUGGCUCAACCAUAAAAUUGCCGUUGAAACUGGAAGACUUGAGUGUGUUUGAGGUAGGCGGAAUGCGUGGUGUAGCGGUGAAAUGCAUAGAUAUUACACAGAACACCGAUUGCGAAGGCAGCUUGCUAGGCCGGAUCUGACACUGAUGCACGAAAGCGUGGGGAUCGAACAGG